UAAGGAAUAUUGGACAAUGCCCGCAAGGGUGAUCCAGCCAUGCCGCGUGCAGGAAGAAGGCGCUAUGCGUCGUAAACUGCUUUUGAACAAGAGAAAACCCUCCUACGUGUAGGAGGCUGAUAGUAUUGUUAGAAUAAGCAUCGGCUAACUUCGUGCCAGCAGCCGCGGUAAGACGAAGGAUGCAAGCGUUAUCCGGAUUCAUUGGGUUUAAAGGGUGCGUAGGCGGCCUAAUAAGUCAGUGGUGAAAUCUCCUCGCUUAACGAGGAAACUGCCAUUGAUACUGUUGGGCUUGAGUACAGAUGCGGUGGGCGGAAUAUGACAUGUAGUGGUGAAAUACAUAGAGAUGUCAUAGAACACCGAUUGCGAAGGCAGCUCACAAAACUGUAACUGACGCUGAGGCACGAAAGUGCGGGGAUCAAACAG
rnacentral:rRNA from 1 species